rnacentral:lncRNA from 1 species
GCACCCGAUGUGGACAUGGAAGGUGAGAUCCACGACCAUGGAAGGCGAGAUCCAUGGCCAUGGAAGGCGCGUCCCCUUCCAUACUUGGCGGCCAUGGCAUGCACGUGCUCCCUUCCCCGCCUCAAUCGACUGCUAUUUUGAGGAUGGACAGAGGCGAGGCCUCCAAACCAUCCCCACUCUCCUCCCAUGCGUCGCUUCGUGUUAUCUCCAGCACAUUUGCUCAUGGCUCCCGGUUCUAGAUCUGGAGUUCUCCACCGCCACCAGCACGGCCGUAGACGCGGAAGCAAGGGGGUUGGGCUUCUGUCGGUGCUGGACAGCGCGAUGUCAAACGUGCCAGCCACUCUUCGCCAUGUUAGUAGAAAAAAUAAAUGACGAUUUAAAAGAGUAAGCCAACAUGCAUAACAAAUUGUUAGAUGCGUACUAAAUUAAUAAACCGUUGCUAAUAAAUUAGUACUUUAAAAGGGUAUGCUAAAAAUAAUAUAAUUAAUUCUAGUUUCUGAGCCCUACUCAUUUUAAUAGCUUACAUUUAAAUUUACGAUAAACUUAGUUUCUACGCCCCACACAUUUUAAUACGACGUCCCACACAUAUAAUCUGUUAAAGGGAUUCCUCUACACUCACACGACGUACUAAGUAGAGGCGGUUGAAUAUGACCAGCUAGACUAUAAUUUAUAGCUUUAUUGUGUAAUAGACCACACCGGGUAAAAAAACAACAGAUCGAGAUAAAGAAAAUGAUGAUUUAUUUGAGUCUCUGACACUAAAUAGAUGGUUGCAAUAUUAAAUUCGCAUCGACUUGUGAACUUAAUGACCAAUAUUUCAAAUUAUUUAAAUUCUAAAAUAGUAAUUUAUAAAAUAAAAUUUGUCGUAGGGGCUAGAUCCUAAUUAAACCUAGAUAUUAGAGGAUAGAAUAAAGUUUGUACCAUGGACGAUGGCCACGACGAACUUGGACGAUGGCAACGACGAACUUGGACUAUCGCAAACAGAGGGUGCGACUUUCGGCGUUGCGAACAGAGGGCGCACGUCUAGCAUGCAGAAAGGAACAAGCGAUGCAAAAAGGAGAAGCGAGCAAGGGAUGUG